rnacentral:rRNA from 1 species
GAUGAACGCUGGCGGCGUGCCUAAUACAUGCAAGUCGAGCGAACGGACGAGAAGCUUGCUCCUCUGAUGUUAGUGGCGGACGGGUGAGUAACACGUGGAUAACCUACCUAUAAGACUGGGAUAACUUCGGGAAACCGGAGCUAAUACCGGAUAAUAUUUUGAACCGCAUGGUUCAAAAGUGAAAGACGGUUUUGCUGUCACUUAUAGAUGGUUCCGCGCUGCAUUAGCUAGUUGGUAAGGUAACGGCUUACCAAGGCGACGAUGCGUAGCCGACCUGAGAGGGUGAUCGGCCACACUGGAACUGAGACACGGUCCAGACUCCUACGGGAGGCAGCAGUAGGGAAUCUUGCGCAAUGGGCGAAAGCCUGACGGAGCAACGCCGCGUGAGUGAUGAAGGUCUUCGGAUCGUAAAACUCUGUUAUUAGGGAAGAACAUAUGUGUAAGUAACUGUGCACGUCUUGACGGUACCUAAUCAGAAAGCCACGGCUAACUACGUG